GAUCCCAGGACGACUCCAGGAGCUCUGUGGAUGUUGCUAGAGUCCAGAGAAGGGUUUCCUUCACCUUCUCUCCCUCUCUCUCUAGAAGUUUUCUCUCUCUACAUUGAAAUCAAUGAUUUAGCUCGAUUUCGUCGCCUCGCUUGUUCUUUGCUGCUGGCGAGUGUCGCUGAGCCUUUGUGGACGUGUGAGAGGGUAUUUUAGAAGGUUUUUCGCAGCACCAAACCAGUGAGUUGCUGGUUGGAAGCUUGAAAAGGUUUGCGAAUCACAUUAAACUCUUUUGGUGACCUGGGAGGCUGGUUUGGAAGGUGUUCCAACUACAGCGAGCUUGCAACGGACUUUCGGAGUAUCUCCGGCUGAUGUGUAAAGGCUUUUAGAAGCUUAAUUUGAGCAGCGUCGAGACUCCGUUGAGCAGGGUUCGGGACUCCUUUUGGCUGGAUUGAGCUUGGUGAUAGCUUGCAAUGUCAAAGAUGCACCCUACGGCAACUGAUGCAACUGAGCCAGAAAGACAUGAACCUUCUGAAUCUAACGAGGUUCAGGAAUUAAAAGAACAGCUGGCUACUCUAGUUGGAGUGGUGGAGCGACAAGCGAAUGUGACGCUACUUCAAGCCGAGGCUUUGCGCCGACAGGAUGAAGGAAUCAGACGGUUGGAGAACCUGUUGAUUCAACAGAUGGCUGAUCUCAAGAAAUUCUACGAGGUUUCGGAUCGUACUUUGACCGUAAGAAAAGGUGUGGAAUGCACUGAAGGAGCCAAAGAGGCUACCAAGGGCGAUCAAUUACAUGUUGGAGAAUCAUCAAGAAAAUUAAAGAAGAAUCAACUUUGGAAACGUGAUUCUUUUUCUAAGCAAAGAAGAUCGAGUGGUCGAGCACCACGGCCAUGUGUAAUUUGUGGAGGUCCGCAUGUUCCCCCAAAGUGUCCUCAGCGGAAAGGAAAGUGUUUUGUAUGUGGUCAGGAGGGCCAUUUUCGUUCUGAGUGCCCAAGGAAUAACAUGUUGACUAAGGUAUCUGCACCGACUUCGUUGCAAAAAGUACCUAGUGGAGGUACGCCGAUGGAAUCAUAAAGCCAGAUACGACGGCGGGGAUGACUAU